ACCCUGCAGAAAUUGGCGUUGGUGUUGGUGAAAAGCUCCUCAGCCCCCUCACUGACAGUGGUAACGCGAGACAGACAGUGUGCCAUUUGCUGUGUGUCUGACUCAGAUGUCUUGACCUGGCCAACUGGACCGGCCUGGCUUCCAGCUCUGGCUUAUCUCUCUGGCACAGCAUUGGUCACUUCACACCCAGCCGCUUGAUCAGCCACAUUUGUAUGGGAUCGCUGAGACAGAAGCAGAUGCCAAAAUGACUGAAAUGAUGGCUGUCAUAUACCAAACAAAAGAUGAAGACCUUUGUUUAAGUUUUUCACAGAACAACUAUGUCCUUUCACUACCAACUUGUGAGUGCUUCGCCUGCACAGAACUGGACCACAUCAGGGCUCUGUUCAAUGUGAGAGUGAAAAUGACAAAUGUGGUUCAUAGUGGCUCAAGUGUAAACUACAGUACAUCGCAGGAAGGAAGAGGGACCUGGUGGUGGGGGUUGGGAGCAGGAUCCCAGACCAUAAAACCUGGCAGCCGCCCUCCUGCAUUGUUCACCACCACCAUUCCAGCCCAGUUUCACUGUUUUCUCCUUGUGCUCUGUGUAUCCUGUCCUUUUAGAGGCAAUAAAUGUUGUUGUUGUUCAUCAGACACACAUGAAUCCCGACCAGGCUGCUCAUGUGCCUUUGUUCUUACCAUGAAGACUCUUGUAGGCAGGAAGAAGGUUGUGUGCUAAAGAGCAAAUAAAUAGCCUUGUUAUAAAGUUUCACAAAGGCAUCAUAUGGGUCCAAUCAGACACAUAUCAGGUUGCAUGCAGCAUGUAUUACACUGUAUAUAGAGCACAAUAAAUACAUAAAGACAAUUCUAGCCUUUCAACUGGACGUUAACACAGCCAAAUCUCCUCUUAUAGCACCACCUUGUGGCUGGACUGAGCUGGUUUCUCUACAUCUUAGAAAUCACUGACUGCUGCAGUGUCAUAUAUGACCAGAAAAAAACAUGUAUUUCUCUUUAUUGUGCUAAUAUUAAUAAUACUAGUA